GCCAGCUAGAAGCUUCCAGCCAGCUGAUCGUUGCUGAAACUCGCGCAAGCGUCCCGACGCUUCUGUUACAGACUUAUACAGGGGUCACGGAGUUUGGCCGAGACCGACCUUAAAGCCGGCAACGUCACGUCGCCGGAUCUUGGAGACACCUUUUACCCUUGACCUUGUCGUCGAUGCGCCAGCAAAAUGCUCGACUGCCCUUAUAACCGUUUUACUAACCCGACUCGUUGUAAUUUUUGGUCUCAUAAUAAAUGAGGGGGACGAAGAAAAAGAAGAAGA
rnacentral:lncRNA from 1 species